GCACUGGAGGUUCAGUGGUAGAAUUCUCAUCUUCUGUGCAGGAGACCUGGGUUCAAUUCCCAGCUAGUGUA
rnacentral:tRNA from 1 species